rnacentral:rRNA from 1 species
CCUACGGGAGGCAGCAGUGGGGAAUAUUGCACAAUGGGGGGAACCCUGAUGCAGCGACGCCGCGUGGGCGAAGGAGUAUUUCGGUAUGUAAAGCCCUAUCAGCAGGGAAGAACAAUGACGGUACCUGACCAAGAUGCACCGGCGAAAUACGUGUCAGCAGCCGCGGUAAUACGUAUGGUGCAAGCGUUAUCCGGAUUUACUGGGUGUAAAGGGAGCGCAGGCGGCGCGUUAAGCCUGGGGUGAAAGCCCGCGGCCCAACCGCGGGACUGCAUUGGGAACUGGCGUGCUGGAGUGCCGGAGGGGUGGACGGAAUUCCUAGUGUAGCGGUGGAAUGCGUAGAUAUUAGGAGGAACACCAGUGGCGAAGGCGGCCUACUGGACGGUGACUGACGCUGAGGCUCGAAAGCGUGGGGAGCAAACAGGAUUAGAUACCCUGGUAGUC